UCCUCAGCUGUUGUUGGACUACAACUCCUAUCAUCCCUGACCACUGGUCCUGCUAGCUAGGGAUGAUGGGAGCUAUAGUCCAACAACAGCUGGGGA
rnacentral:miRNA from 1 species